rnacentral:rRNA from 1 species
UGAGGAAUAUUGGUCAAUGGGCGAGAGCCUGAACCAGCCAAGUAGCGUGCAGGAUGACGGCCCUAUGGGUUGUAAACUGCUUUUAUAUGGGAAUAAAGUGAGGGACGUGUCCCUUAUUGCAUGUACCAUAUGAAUAAGGACCGGCUAAUUACGUGCCAGCAGCCGCGGUAAUACGUAAGGUCCGAGCGUUGUCCGGAAUCAUUGGGCGUAAAGGGUACGUAGGCGGAUAAGCAAGUUAGAAGUGAAAUCCUAUAGCUCAACUAUAGUAAGCUUUUAAAACUGCUCAUCUUGAGGUAUGGAAGGGAAAGUGGAAUUCCUAGUGUAGCGGUGAAAUGCGCAGAUAUUAGGAGGAAUACCGGUGGCGAAGGCGACUUUCUGGCCAUAUACUGACGCUGAGGUACGAAAGCGUGGGUAGCAAACAGG